ACGGCUCAGUAACACGUGGCUAACCUGCCCUCGGGACGAGAACACCCCCGGGAAACUGGGGCUAAUUCUCGAUAGGCGAAGAACUCUGGAAUGAGUCUUUACCCAAAAGACGUUUAGAUCAUGCUUCUAGGCGUCGCCCAAGGAUGGGGCCGCGACCGAUCAGGUAGUUGGUGAGGCAAUGGCUCACCAAGCCUUUAACCGGUGCGGGCCGUGGGAGCGGGAGCCCGGAGAUGGGCACUGAGACAAGGGCCCAGGCCCUACGGGGCGCAGCAGUCGCGAAAACUUUGCAAUAAGCGCAAGCUUGACAGGGCUAUCCCGAGUGCCAUCCGCUGAGGAAGGCUUUUACCCAGUCUAGAACGCUGGGGGAAUAAGGAGAGGGCAAGUCUGGUGUCAGCCGCCGCGGUAAUACCAGCUCUCCGAGUGGUGUGGAUGUUUAUUGGGCCUAAAGCAUCCGUAGCUGGCUAAGUUAGUCCCUUGUUAAAUCCACCGAAUUAAUCGUUGGAUUGCGGGGGAUACUGCUUGGCUAGGGGACGAGAGAGGCAGACGGUAUUUCCGGGGUAGGGGUGAAAUCCUAUAAUCCCGGGAAGACCACCAGUGGCGAAGGCUGUCUGCUAGAACGCGCCCGACGGUGAGGGAUGAAAGCUGGGGGAGCGAACCGGAUUAGAUACCCGGGUAGUCCCAGCUGUAAACGAUGCAGGCUAGGUGUUUGGACGGCCACGUGCCGUUCUAGUGCCGCAGGGAAGCUGUUAAGCCUGCCGCCUGGGGAGUACGAUCGCAAGAUUGAAACUUAAAGGAAUUGGCGGGGGAGCAC
rnacentral:rRNA from 1 species